rnacentral:tRNA from 1 species
GGGGUUGUGGCUCAGUGGUAGAGCGCUUGCCUAGCAUGUGUGAGGUACUGGGUUCGAUCCCUAGCACCA